AAAUGAAGGAAGCAUGGUAAUGUGCACAAAGAUUGAAUAGGGUCAUCAUUUCUGCUUGCUUUGAUGCCUGUGGCCGUGAUAUGCAGGCCUGGAUCAGACCUACAUAU